AUUGAACGCUGGCGGUAUGCUUUACACAUGCAAGUCGAACGGCAGCACGGGGGCAGCUCUGGUGGCGAGUGGCGGAGGGGCGAGUAAUACAUCGGAACGUGCCCGGCCGCGGGGGCUAACGUAGCGACGGAUACGCUCAUACCGCAUUAGAUCAGAGGAUGAACGCGGGGGACCAUCGGGCCUUGCGCGCUCGCACGGGCCGAUGUCCGAUUAGGUAGUUGGUGGGGUAAAGGCCUACCAAGCCGACGAUCCGUAGCUGGUCUGAGAGGACGACCAGCCACACUGGGACUGAGACACGGCCCAGACUCCUACGGGAGGCAGCAGUGGGGAAUUUUGGACAAUGGGCGCAAGCCUGAUCCAGCCAUUCCGCGUGCAGGACGAAGGCCUUCGGGUUGUAAACUGCUUUUCUACGGAACGAAAAGGAUCUGGCUAAUACCUGGGGCUCAUGACGGUACCGUAAGAAUAAGCACCGGCUAACUACGUG
rnacentral:rRNA from 1 species